AGCGAACGCUGGCGGCAGGCCUAACACAUGCAAGUCGAACGGAUCCUUCGGGAUUAGUGGCGGACGGGUGAGUAACACGUGGGAACGUGCCCUUUGGUUCGGAACAACUCAGGGAAACUUGAGCUAAUACCGGAUGUGCCCUUCGGGGGAAAGAUGUAUCGCCAUUGGAGCGUCCCGCGUCGGAUUAGCUAGUUGGUGGGGUAAAGGCCCACCAAGGCGACGAUCCGUAGCUGGUCUGAGAGGAUGAUCAGCCACAUUGGGACUGAGACACGGCCCAAACUCCUACGGGAGGCAGCAGUGGGGAAUCUUGCGCAAUGGGCGAAAGCCUGACGCAGCCAUGCCGCGUGAAUGAUGAAGGUCUUAGGAUUGUAAAAUUCUUUCACCGGGGACGAUAAUGACGGUACCCGGAGAAGAAGCCCCGGCUAACUACGUGCCAGCAGCCGCGGUAA
rnacentral:rRNA from 1 species